GACGAACGCUGGCGGCGUGCUUAACACAUGCAAGUCGAACGGAAAGGCCCUGCUUUUGUGGGGUGCUCGAGUGGCGAACGGGUGAGUAACACGUGAGUAACCUGCCCUUGACUUUGGGAUAACUUCAGGAAACUGGGGCUAAUACCGGAUAGGAGCUCCUGCUGCAUGGUGGGGGUUGGAAAGUUUCGGCGGUUGGGGAUGGACUCGCGGCUUAUCAGCUGGUUGGUGGGGUAGUGGCUUACCAAGGCUUUGACGGGUAGCCGGCCUGAGAGGGUGACCGGCCACAUUGGGACUGGGAUACGGCCCAGACUCCUACGGGGGGCAGCGGUGGGGAAUUUUCCACAAUGGGCGGAGGCCUGAUGCAGAAACGCCGCGUGGGGAAUGACGGCCUUCGGGUUGUAACCCGCUUUCGCCUGUGACGAAGCGUGAGUGACGGUAAUGGGUAAAGAAGCACCGGCUAACUACGU
rnacentral:rRNA from 1 species